GUCCCAUUGGAACAGUGGAUUAGUUCGUCUGACUUCUAAUCAGAAAGUCGUGGGUUCGACCCCCACAUGGGAUG
rfam:Gonapodya prolifera JEL478 unplaced genomic scaffold M427scaffold_2, whole genome shotgun sequence.